UACGUAGGGUGCAAGCGUUGUCCGGAAUUAUUGGGCGUAAAGAGCUCGUAGGCGGUUUGUCGCGUCGAAUGUGAAAACCCGGGGCUCAACUCCGGGCCUGCAUUCGAUACGGGCAGACUAGAGUUCGGUAGGGGAGACUGGAAUUCCUGGUGUAGCGGUGAAAUGCGCAGAAUAUCAGGAGGAACACCGGUGGCGAAGGCGG
rnacentral:rRNA from 1 species